GCGUCGUAGUCCGGAUUGGAGUCUGCAACUCGACUCCAUGAAGUCGGAAUCGCUAGUAAUCGUGGAUCAGAAUGCCACGGUGAAUACGUUCCCGGGCCUUGUACACACCGCCCGUCACACCAUGGGAGUGGGCUGCACCAGAAGUGGUUAGUUUAACCUUCGGGAGAACGAUCACCACGGUGUGGUUCAUGACUGGGGUGAAGUCGUAACAAGGUAGCCGUAGGGGAACCUGCGGCUGGAUCACCUCCUUACAUUA
rnacentral:rRNA from 1 species